UCCGGUUGAUCCCGCCGGACCUGACUGCUAUCGGAUUGAUACUAAGCCAUGUGAGUCAUUGUAGCAAUACAAGGCAGACGGCUCAGUAACACGUAGCCAACCUACCCUAUGGACGGGGAUAACCUCGGGAAACUGAGGAUAAACCCCGAUAGAUCAUUAUGCCUGGAACGGUUUAUGGUCCAAAUGAUUCGUCGCCGUAGGAUGGGACUGCGGCCUAUCAGCUUGUGGUGAGGUAAUGGCCCACCAAGGCUAUUACAGGUACGGGCUCUGAGAGGAGUGGCCCGGAGAUGGGUACUGAGACACGGACCCAGGCCCUAUGGGGCGCAGCAGGCGAGAAAACUUUGCAAUGUGCGAAAGCACGACAAGGUUAAUCCGAGUGGUUUCUGCUAAAGGAACCUUUUGUUAGUCCUAGAAACACUAACGAAUAAGGGGUGGGCAAGUUCUGGUGUCAGCCGCCGCGGUAAAACCGGCACCUCAAGUGGUCGGAUGAUUAUUGGGCCUAAAGCAUCCGUAGCCUGCUCUGUAAGUUUUCGGUUAAAUCUGUAUGCUCAACAUACAGGCCGCCGGGAAUACUGCAGAGCUAGGGAGUGGGAGAGGUAGACGGUACUCGGGAGGAAGUGGUAAAAUGCUUUGAUCUCUCGAUGACCACCUGUGGCGAAGGCGGUCUACCAGAACACGUCCGACGGUGAGGGAUGAAAGCUGGGGGAGCAAACCGGAUUAGAUACCCGGGUAGUCCCAGCCGAAACUAUGCAAACUCAGUGAUGCAUUGGCUUGUGGCCAAUGCAGUGUUGCAGGGAAGCCGUUAAGUUUGCCGCCUGGGAAGUACGUACGCAAGUAUGAAACUUAAAGGAAUUGGCGGGGGAGCACCACAAGGGGUGAAGCCUGCGGUUCAAUUGGAGUCAACGCCGGA
rnacentral:rRNA from 1 species